rnacentral:rRNA from 1 species
AUUGAACGCUGGCGGCAGGCUUAACACAUGCAAGUCGAACGGACUACUUCGGUAGUUAGUGGCGAACGGGUGAGUAAUGCCUAGGAAUCUGCCGUUUAAUGGGGGAUAACUGACCGAAAGGUCUGCUAAUACCGCAUACGCCCUACGGGGGAAAGCAGGGGAUCUUCGGACCUUGCGUUAAACGAUGAGCCUAGGUCGGAUUAGCUAGUUGGUGAGGUAAAGGCUCACCAAGGCGACGAUCUGUAGCGGGUCUGAGAGGAUGAUCCGCCACACUGGAACUGAGACACGGUCCAGACUCCUACGGGAGGCAGCAGUGGGGAAUAUUGGACAAUGGGGGCAACCCUGAUCCAGCCAUGCCGCGUGUGUGAAGAAGGCCUUUUGGUUGUAAAGCACUUUAAGCGAGGAGGAGGCUUUGUGGGUUAAUACCCUGCAAAGUGGACGUUACUCGCAGAAUAAGCACCGGCUAACUCUGUGCCAGCAGCCGCGGUAA